rnacentral:rRNA from 1 species
AUUGAACGCUGGCGGCAGGCUUAACACAUGCAAGUCGAGCGGAGAUGAGGUGCUUGCACCUUAUCUUAGCGGCGGACGGGUGAGUAAUGCUUAGGAAUCUGCCUAUUAGUGGGGGACAACAUUCCGAAAGGAAUGCUAAUACCGCAUACGUCCUACGGGAGAAAGCAGGGGAUCUUCGGACCUUGCGCUAAUAGAUGAGCCUAAGUCGGAUUAGCUAGUUGGUGGGGUAAAGGCCUACCAAGGCGACGAUCUGUAGCGGGUCUGAGAGGAUGGUCCGCCACACUGGGACUGGAACACGGCCCAGACUCCUACGGGAGGCAGCAGUGGGGAAUAUUGGACAAUGGGGGGAACCCUGAUCCAGCCAUGCCGCGUGUGUGAAGAAGGCCUUAUGGUUGUAAAGCACUUUAAGCGAGGAGGAGGCUACUGAGACUAAUACUCUUGGAUAGUGGACGUUACUCGCAGAAUAAGCACCGGCUAACUCUGUGCCAGCCGCCGCCGUAACAC